rnacentral:rRNA from 1 species
AGAACGAACGCUGGCGGCGUGGAUAAGACAUGCAAGUCGAACGCUGACAUUUAGAUAGCAAUAUUUGAAUGUCGGAGUGGCGCAAGGGUGUGUAACACGUGGGCAAUCUGCCGUGAAGACUGGAAUAACUCGCUGAAAGGCGAGCUAAUACCGGAUGUGAACGCAAGUUCAAAGUUGGGGACCGCAAGGCCUGACGCUUUACGAUGAGCCCGCGGCCUAUCAGCUAGUUGGUGAGGUAACGGCUCACCAAGGCUAAGACGGGUAGC